CAAGCCUAUGAGAAUGACGAGCUUCGAAUGGAGAAAAGGCCGGUUGAUGUUCCUGAAUCUCAAUUUAGGGAUCUUCUUAAUUAUUGGAACUCUGAUGCCUACAAGGUAAAAAAAAUGUCCAAAACCAAUACCGAGAAUUGCAAAAAGUUGAAAUAUCCACACACUGCUAGCAAAAGAAGUUUCGCUUGAAUAUGCGAGAAAAAAAAAAGAAACUUUUGAACCUCUAUCAAGCAAGGAUAUCUUUGUGGCUACGAGAAAAAGAAAACUCGAUCGAGUAUACAAGGCCUUGUAUGUGGAUACUCUUAAUAAAAUUGUACGAGGGGUUACCUGAGCAUCCAGGUCGCAUAAGAUUGUAUGGACGUGGUUACCAAAACUUCCUUAAAAAGAAAAGUGGAAAAUUUUGGAUCCCCUUUUAAGUUCGACUAUUGAGAUGAUGCAACAAAAAUUGGAGGAAAUGGAAUAAAGGAUGCAAUAGGAUGCAAGAAAAGGUUAACGCACAAAAAGAUGUCGUGGAACUACAAGUUGCAGUUAACAUCAUUUCACAACUUAAGCAUCUGAAUACAGAUUUACGGGUUGAUCCCAGCAUGCUAGCAUUCAAUGCUCGUUAACCCGAAGAAGCUUCCUCUGCACAGCAAGCUGUUGUGCAACUAAAAUCGUUCAUCUACUGGGAGUAAUAAUCAAGGUCGAGCAAUUGAAGAAGGGGAAGAUGGAGAUUUUGAAGAUCUAGACCUAACUUAAGAACUUUGAAUUGUUGUCCAUGUUCUAGGAAUCUUUUGUUAUCAACAUUUGAAAUUACUCUAACUCUUGUAGUGUUGAAAUGUUUAACUUAUGUGAAUGGGUUAAAA